AUUGAACGCUGGCGGCAUGCCUUACACAUGCAAGUCGAACGGUAACAGGUCUUCGGAUGCUGACGAGUGGCGAACGGGUGAGUAAUACAUCGGAACGUGCCUAGUAGUGGGGGAUAACUACUCGAAAGAGUGGCUAAUACCGCAUGAGAUCUACGGAUGAAAGCAGGGGAUCGCAAGACCUUGUGCUACUAGAGCGGCCGAUGGCAGAUUAGGUAGUUGGUGGGAUAAAAGCUUACCAAGCCGACGAUCUGUAGCUGGUCUGAGAGGACGAUCAGCCACACUGGGACGGAGACACGGCCCAGACUCCUACGGGAGGCAGCAGUGGGGAAUUUUGGACAAUGGGCGCAAGCCUGAUCCAGCAAUGCCGCGUGCAGGAUGAAGGCCUUCGGGUUGUAAACUGCUUUUGUACGGAACGAAAAGCCCCGGGUUAAUACCCUGGGUCAUGACGGUACCGUAAGAAUAAGCACCGGCUAACUACGUGCCAGCAGCCGCCGUAA
rnacentral:rRNA from 1 species